UACGGAGGGUGCGAGCGUUGUCCGGAAUCACUGGGCGUAAAGGGCGCGUAGGCGGCCUGAUAAGUAGGGGGUGAAAUCCUGCGGCUUAACCGCAGGGCUGCCUUCUAAACUGUCGGGCUUGAGCACAGUAGAGGCAGGUGGAAUUCCCGGUGUAGCGGUGGAAUGCGUAGAGAUCGGGAAGAACAUCAGUGGCGAAGGCGGCCUGCUGGGCUGUUACUGACGCUGAGGCGCGACAGCGUGGGGAGCAAACAGG
rnacentral:rRNA from 1 species